rnacentral:rRNA from 1 species
UACGUAGGGUGCAAGCGUUGUCCGGAAUUAUUGGGCGUAAAGAGCUCGUAGGCGGUCUGUCGCGUCGGAAGUGAAAACCCGGGGCUCAACCCCGGGCCUGCUUUCGAUACGGGCAGACUAGAGUUCGGCAGGGGAGACUGGAAUUCCUGGUGUAGCGGCGAAAUGCGCAGAUAUCAGGAGGAACACCGGUGGCGAAGGCGGGUCUCUGGGCCGAUACUGACGCUGAGGAGCGAAAGCGUGGGGAGCGAACAGG